rnacentral:tRNA from 1 species
GCGUCUGUGGCUCAGGGGUUAAGCACUUGACUUGCAAUCUGCAGGUUAUGGGUUUGAAUCCCUUCAUGUACC